AAGCAGUUCAAACAAUGCUAUUGUCAGCAGCUGAGAAGAUCUCUGACUAUUUCAACUAAUUGGUUCUUUCAUUUUAAACAUAGAACUUCCCUGAUGAGCAACCUGGACCAAAUGUUUACUUCUUAAAGGCGAAUCUUUCAACGCUUCUGAAUCCUGCAAUCUUGGAUCAAUGUUUUCAAUCUCUACAGACUUUUUUUUCACUAAGCAGUCUGGAGA
rnacentral:misc_RNA from 1 species